rnacentral:lncRNA from 1 species
CGGGUCUCGGCCGGCGAGGGGGGCGGUGGCCGGCCGGCGGGGUCGCUGGCGUCGUCUUCCCGGGCUGGGGGCGGGGCGUGCCCGCGACGGCUCCUCCCCCUGGGCUCCUCGCCGGUUCUGGGAGCCCGGGUGCGGGUGGGAGCAAGCGAGCGAGGGUGUCCUCCUUCCGCCUCCCUCUCUCCGCCGUCCGCGCUGAGCCGGGGCGGCGGUGCCUGAGCUGUUCCCUCGCGAGCCGGUGAGGACGGAGCGGCUGGGUGAGGAGGUGGAGCAGCCGGGCCGGGCGGAGAAGCUUGCGGGCUCCGCGCACCUCACCUCCGCCAAUCAGCACCGCGAAUCGACGGUGACGUCGCUCUCCCCGCCCCCUGGGGGGCCGCCUUUCUCCAGGAAGCCACGCCCAACUGCUGGCCGGCCGCCUCCCUCUCGGCGGCUUCCGUGCGGUCCUAAAGGCUGGUGCUCGGCAGGAGGAGGACGCGGGCUGGGGCCGUGGGGCGGCGUGAGGGUAGCCCGGGAGCGGUGAGGAGCGUGCGAGGCCCACGUGAGCGGAGGGACGCGGCCGCUCUCACCUUUCCUGAGGGCCCUGGCCCGGCUUUGGACUCCUGAUUCUCCUCUGCUUGCCAGCUGCCGCCCCGCCUCCGCCAGUGGUGCCCGGGCUGCCUGCGCGGCCGGAGUGAACGCGUCCCGGGAGCAGGGGUUUCUCCGAAGUGAGUGCGCCAGCCCCGGGACGAGCUCGUUCGAGUCCUCACCGCCCAGUGCACUUCCUGAAAGCCGGCGGUGGGCUGUCUCCCACCUUGUGAAACUUUGCCAGGUGUCGCUCACAGGGGACUGGGUCCGGACGCGGGUGGCGGCGCUGGUUUGCGGCCCCGGUUUGCGGCCCCGGCGCCGCGAUCCCGGGCCGCGCCCACGCCCAGGCUGGAGGCACCGUGCGCAGGUGGGGACGCGCGGCCGGGAGGUGCGCAGCGGGACCCGGCCGGCCGAGGGUGAGCGCUGCUGGGGACGCUCCUAGUCUGUAACGCUCUGUGAAAAUUAUUUCCUGGAUAGUUUAGGAAAAGCCUCUCCCUUCCCCGCCCCUAAACCUCUAUCUUUUGGGAAUCAUUGAUUUGCUAAAUGACAUUUCGGUGCCUAACCCAUUUUGAAUCCUUGUUCUGCUGUGAAUUUCAUGUGACUGGAGGAAUUUAAUAAGCUACCAACUUGACAGGCUUUAAACUUAAAAAAAAAAAGUUUUGUUACGUUUUUCAGAUUUAGGCUUCCAAGAUGUUUACACUCGCACUGUUACUUUUUUUUUUUUUUUUUUUUUUUUUUAGCAACAUAGUCCAAAUUUUUAAAACUCAGCUGGAUCUUUUGAGGGUUAAUUAAAAGGUGGGUUAAAAAAAAUCUUAAGACUUUAAAUUUAGAAGUCCUACUACAGCUAUGUAGUAGGAGUAUGCAGAAAGAUAAGAAUCACAUUGUAACUCUUUGCGGUGGUGCUGGAACAUCUGUUGGGAGAGCAUAUGCUGAACUCUGUUCACCUCACAAGUUUAUGUCCUAAGAGGCUCAUUCACAGUUCAGUAAAAGGGUGAACUGAAGCCUGAAUCAGUUUCGGGGAUGAAAGGGUGAGAGGGAGAACUGUUUUCAGCACAUUUGAGGUUGGCAAAAUAUAUAAAAGUCACUCUUUCUUGUAAUUUGCUAGUUCUUUACAGUCUUUAGAUGUAAUUUACAGCCAAGAAAACUUUAUUAUGAGGACUUAUACGUCAUUGCCCUUUUUUGCUGUCACCCUCAACUACCCUGGGAUCUUCUACUCAUAUCUCAUCUCCUGUUCCCACUUUUCUAAAGCUUAGGGUGAAAUACUUAGGCAACUAGUAAUAAUAUUAAUCUUGCUAGAUAUUCACAGGUUCAUAGUGAGCCAGCUGUCUAGAUCUGGAUAUCUAGUGAGCAAAUAAAUUCUUUACCUCCGAGUUGAUUUUUGUUUUAUUGAUCGAUUGACACAGUCUUGCUCUGUCACCCAGGCUGGAGCACAGGCUCAAGCAGAUCCUCCUGCCUCAGCCUCUCAAGUAGCUGGGACCACAGGCACGUGACACCACACCUGGCUAAUUGUUUGUAUUUUUUUGUAGAGACAGAGUCUCACCAUGUUGCCCAGGCUGGCAAAUUGAGUUUUAUAUGUGACGCAGUCAAAGGGGCAUUUUCCUUGGCAAUAAGAAGCCAUUUGAUAUGAACUCUCCACAAUAGUUGAUGCAUACAUUUUAUACCAGAAUUCAAAUUUGUAAUCAAUAAUGAUUACUUGGGUGUUUAUAGCUUUGGCCAACAUUAAACAAUAUAGUGAUCAAAGCUUAUACACAUAAGUGACAUAUACCAUGAUUUAAUGAUUUUGGUUAUCCAUCAGCUGGACAAUUUGUUGUUUAUCUCCGUCUCUGCAUACUGCAGCUCACAAGGAGGCCUCAAUGUUUUUUCCAUGUUACCAUAAGUGAGAGAACACAUUCAGUAAGAGUGAAAAAACGCUAGUGCUUUUGAGGGAGGGGCCCCGAUGGAAGUCCCACUGUGACAUGUGAGUUUUUAAGCUGGGAAAACUACCCUGAUGAUUCUAGUAAGACUCCCUAGAAAGGGAUUCCUCUUAGCCAGCCUACCUGUUGAGAACACCUGCUCUAGAUUUUCUGAUUUUUUUUUGUAUUCCCUGCAUAAUCAAAUCAUGUGGGCCAGAUAACAUUAUUGUGAUAGUGGUGAGUGUGUGGUUUGUAUCCAAAUAUUUUAUAAAGAAAUAUAUCUUGUAACAAAAACCAGGACACAAAGUAUUAUUGUCUCUUGUCCCCAGAUGAUAUAUAUAUUUUUAACUUCCCAUACUACACUGAUGUACCUAGAUGAUGUUUAAUGCACAUUCAGUAUAUUGUUUUAUUUGCCUUUUUAAUAGUGAAAGGUGUCAUUAUUCAUAUACCAUGCCAUACCGUAAUAUAGCUGGUAUUAUUGUCCAAGUAUUUAUAUGUAACCAGAAAACUGAUUCCAAGUGAAGGUUUGGAUGAAGGCACUAGUGACGGAGGAGGCUUUUCAACCCUCCUUUUUGCAGCUGGGUUGCUGCAAGACAUUUCACCAAAACCUCAGAUAACUGGGUGGUUCAGGGCAGCCUGAUACACUAAAAUAUAUCAACUAUAAAAAGGAUGCCCAGAUACGUCCACUUCUACUUCAGAUAUCCUGAAACAGGCAGUCUGAUUCAUAUCAAGAAUUUGUUCCCUAUGAGACCCCUCUCCCACUACACCUCCCUGUUUCCUCCAUUAGAAUAUAAAUAUCUUGAAGUCACUGACCAUGUUUUAUUCAAUGUUAUGUUUUCUCAUCUGGCACACAGUAGAUGUUCAUCCAUAUUUGUUGAAUAAAUGAAUGAAUGAAUGAAUGAACAGUGCUCCCGUAACAAAAAGUAAAGGCCAGAAACUCUUGGGUCACCUGGAACCUUGUUCCUACCUACCAGGGAAAAGAAAACAUGUCUCAGCAUUAUCAGACUAGCCCUGAGAUUCACUCCAGUUGAAUUGGCUGAGGUUCUAUGGCCAUUCUUGAUCAGUCACUGGGGCCAAGGCAGUGAAUCAACUUCAGAACCAUAUGGGUCCCUUCCAAGGAGACCCAGGGCUGUUGGAGAGGGGAAAGAAAAAUAUGAAUGCAGGGAGGCACCAACAUAUGUCUGAUAUCAUUGUACUUUAAUCUGUAGUUUGAUCAUUUAAAUUGCCGUGGGUAUAAGGUACCUCAAAAAUAAAUUUUUGUUUAGUUAGUUCACAUACAGCAUGUAUUUUAAAACAGGUGUUAAAUAUUAAACUGUCUUUAAAGAUUACACUUACAAAGCUGAUCUAAAACACCAGUAAGUUAUCUGCUGAUAUACAACUUAAGGAAAAAAUUAAUUGCAUAUUAAAAUUAAAAAUACAAGUUUUUGUUAAGGUUUACAAAAAUACGGUGACAGACUUGAGAUAGAAAUUCUUGGUGGUGUUACUGUGACAAGUAUUUCCAUUGGUAACCUGGGAAUCCAUGCCCAGCACUGUGGUAUAUGGCGUAUUUUCUGGAAGACUAGCCUUGGAUUGAAUUCACAGUCUCCCUGGAGUUGUGGUUCCAUUUGUCAGAAAGAUUCUUAGGGAUUUAGACUGACCAGGCUGUCAUGUUCUCACACUCAUACAUUUGUAAUUUUUGGAAAAACCAUAAAACCCACCAGUCUUUGGAGACUGUCCAGAAAUAAACUUGAUUCUAAACUGGUUUGGUUUGGAAAAUCCUUAGGCUACUUGUGUUAAAAAUUAAAGAACUAGCUGGGCAUGGUGGUGUGUACCUGUAGUUCCAGCUACGCAGGAGGCUGCGGCAGGAGGAUUGCUUGAGCCCAGGAGUUCGAGGCUGCAGUGUUCUGUGAUUGCGUCUGUGGAGCGCCACCGCACUUCAGUCUGGACAACAUAAUGAAACCUCAUCUCUUAGAAAUGAACUGGCUGAUGUUAGGUACUUGCCAGGGUAGACGACCUUAACUAAGCCCCUGGGGUUCUGUGAGACCUCUGCAAAUAGAUCUUCUGCUUAACUGUUCAAAAAGGCAAGGGCUGUCCCCCUCAAAAAACAACAUUGACUUCUAGAGACCCAUGGAGAGAUGGAAGUUUCUGAAGACUGGCUUGCUAGAUAGGAAAAUAACCAAUGCUCCAGCAGUGUUCUUGGGAUUGGAAUUUGCUGAUUCAUGUUUUUUAAAAUGCAUGAUCACAUCAAAUUUGCUGAGCUGUUGACUAUCAACCCAGCCUAAACCCACCGGCUCUUACCCUUUAACUUUCAUAAAAGAGAAGCCUGAUUUUGUUCAGGUAUCUAGCCUUCUCCCAAAGACCCUGUGUGGCUUGAAGGAUACCUUUGCUGGAGCCAUGGAUAGGAUAAAUCUCGAUCAGUAAAACAAUUAGGAAAUCCUGUACUUUUGCAAUUGGUUCGGAAUGAUUCGUACAUGACAAAGGACACACGAGGCAAUUUGGAGGGGCUCUCAUUGGCCAAAUCUGGCAAAAUUUGAGUAUCAAAAAGAUAAGAUGGUACCAUUGAAUAGAAAGAGAAUCGAACUCCAUAGGGAUUUCAAAGAAAAAGAGGUUGGGGAGGGUGCAGAGAAAAAAAACAACAGCAUCUUUAUAGAAGAGUGCCCCUAAAAAAAUGCAGAAAGAGAGAGUGAGAAAAGUACCACUUUGCUACCACCAAAUGUAAUAAUUGAUUAAGGUAUUUUCACCAUUGAGUGGGAAGUUAAGAAAUGAAACAUGUAUUCUCAAAGUACCACCUCAUUUAAAAAGGAGAAGAGGUACUUUUACACGGAUAAAUCUGAUGAAUACGACCCCAACCAUGUAGUCACAAUAAUGGGACAAUUUAAUAUGUUCUUCCCCAUGUCCUGGAUGCCACUGGAAGUGCACACUGCUUGUAUGUAAUAUUCUUGCCAAAAUGUUUAUGCUGAAUCUAAUCAUGGGGAAGUAAGACAAAUCU